CCUACGGGUGGCAGCAGUGAGGAAUAUUGGUCAAUGGGCGCGAGCCUGAACCAGCCAAGUAGCGUGAAGGAUGACUGCCCUACGGGUUGUAAACUUCUUUUAUAAAGGAAUAAAGUGAGGCACGUGUGCCUUUUUGUAUGUACUUUAUGAAUAAGGAUCGGCUAACUCCGUGCCAGCAGCCGCGGUAAUACGGAGGGUCCGAGCGUUAUCCGGAUUUAUUGGGUUUAAGGGGAGCGUAGAUGGGUGGUUAAGUCAGUAGUGAAAGUUUGCGGCUCAACCGUAAAAUUGCAAUUGAUACUGGCAGGCUAGAGUACAGUUGAGGUAGGCGGAAUUCGUGGUGUAGCGGUGAAAUGCGUAGAUAGCACGAAGAACUCCGAUUGCGAAGGCAGCUUACUAAACAGCAACUGACAUUGAGGCUCGAAAGUGUGGGUAGCAAACAGGAUUAGAUACCCGAGUAGUC
rnacentral:rRNA from 1 species